ensembl:lncRNA
AUGGAGAUUGGAGUCCCCUCUUUGGCCUCUUUUUUCUUCUAUCUCUCUCCAUUUUCUCCUUUCUCUCGUCAGGGCUGGAUCUGAUGUGGGAUGAAUCUAGAGAUCAGGAUUCUGGUGUUCCUGCCAGUAUCGUAUUCAUGCUACCAGCUGGAUCCCACCAGAUGUGUCUAUAACAAAUCAUAAACACAGCCAUUGACUGCUGGUUCAGAUUCAUAAACCUAGCAAUUGACUGCUGGUUGACUGCUGCUCAGAUCCCUAUAGUGGAGGGAUUAACUGGUGACUCAAAAUGCUAACCAGGGCGAUUGACUGCUGCUUGGAUUCAUAAGCUCCAUGAUUGACUGCUGUUGGCACAAUUGCUACCACCGGAGUCGGUGGCAAUUGACAAACGAUGGUGGGAGCAGCACCGGCCGGCGGCGAGGGAAAUUACCCAGCCCUAUCGGAGGCCGCUGGUAAUCAUUCCACAUGCCUUACACAUCUCUCUCUGGGACUUUUUACUGCCACACUCAAUCACAGGCCUAGAGAUAAUACUACAGAACAAUUACAGUAGAGGACAUUAUGUGGAUUCCCUGCAUUUGAGUGUGGGUUUAUUACAUACAUUACUUAUGGUGUUUCAUAGACAAUAUACAGAGAGAUUUCAACUGGAGAGAAGAGAGACACCCUUCGUUGCCUGGUGCUGUCUCUAGAGGGCUCCCUGUGGCCUGCAGGAACACACUCAACCAACAUCUCUCAAAAGAUAGAUAACACAAUUAACUGUGAGAACAUGCAUUUGACUGCAGCAUGAGGCAGCUAAAGACUGUUUGCUCAUGAAUUACCAUUGUCUGUUUUCUCUUUGGCACUUAAUUGUUCGUUGCUUGGAGAGAGAAAAAAAACGAAUCACAGAGAGAGAAAGCAGUAGCUGCUUUAACUCAAUUUGUAUUAUGUUUUAAUUGACUGUACGGUGGCUGGGCGUUUGGCACGAUGCAAUUAUGAAGAGUGGGCGAGGAACACACCACAUUACAGUGCAUUAAAGUCAAUUAAUUGGAAUCGCCAUCUUCAGCGAGGCAUUGUGUUCCUCCAGUGACAGGCAACUUCCCUUGUGUGCAUUUUACACACUUUUGCGCGGCGUCCUCUGAUAUAAAUGUUUUAUAAAGGCAAGCCAGUCCCAGGAGCGACAAAGGAUUCUAAUGCAGGAGAGAGAGGAGAGGGAUGGUGUGCAUGCAGGCAGGCAGAAGCACCAAUCUGUUAUCAUUGAAGGACCUGAGCCCUAGGACCAUGCCUCAGGACUACCUGGCCUGAUGACUCCUUGCUGUCCCCAGUCCACCUGGUCGUGCUGCUGCUCCAGUAUCAACUGUUCUGCCUGCGGCUAUGGAUCCCUGACCUGUACACCGGAUGUGCUACCUGUCCCAGACCUGCUGUUUUCAACUCUCUAGAGACAGCAGGAGCGGUAGAGAUCUCUGAAUGAUCGGCUAUGAAAAGUCAACUGACAUUUACUCCUGAGGUGCUGACCUGUUGCACCCUCGACAACCACUGUGGUUAUUAUUAUUCGACCCUGCUGGUCAUUUAUGAACAUUUGAACAUCUUGGCCAUGUUCUGUUAUAAUCUCCACCCGGCACAGCCAGAAGAGGACUGACCACCCCUCAUAGCCUGGUUCCUCUCUAGGUUUCUUCCUAGGUUUUGGCCUUUCUAGGGAGUUUUUCCUAGCCACCGUGCUUCUACACCUGCAUUGCUUGCUGUUUGGGGUUUAAGGCUGGGUUUCUGUACAACACUUUGAGAUAUCACCUGAUGUAAGGGCUUUAUAAAUACAUUUGACAUGGGCCGUAGAUGCUUUCAAUUGCCAAACUUAUAGGCAUGUCUUCACAGCGUGAUAUUGCGCUCCAAAUGGUUAACUUGA